rnacentral:rRNA from 1 species
CUCCGGUUGAUCCCGCCGGACCCGACUGCUAUCGGAUUGAGAUUUAGCCAUGCGAGUCGAACGUCCCCCUGUUGCGGGGGGCGUGGCGUACGGCUCAGUAACACGUAGUCAACCUGCCCUGGAGACAAGGACAACCCCGGGAAACUGGGAUUAAUCCUUGAUAGGUCAUCUCAUCUGGAAGGAGAGAUGGCUUAAAGGGGUACGCGGGCUUCUUCCGCGAAUUCGCUCCAGGAUGGGACUGCGUCCGAUCAGGCUGUUGGCGGGGUAAUGGCCCACCAAACCUGUAACCGGUACGGGCCUUGAGAGAGGUGGCCCGGAGAUGGACACUGAGAGAAGGGUCCAGGUCCUACGGGGCGCAGCAGGCGCGAAACCUUCGCAAUGCGCGAAAGCGUGACGAGGUUAAUCCGAGUGACUCCCGCUGAGGGGGUCUUUUGUCAGCUGUAAAUAGGCAGGCGAAUAAGGGGAGGGCAAGCCUGGUGUCAGCCGCCGCGGUAAUACCAGCUCCUCGAGUGGUCGGGGCGAUUAUUGGGCCUAAAGCAUCCGUAGCCGGUUCCGUAGGUCCUCUGUUAAAUCCAACCGCUUAACGGUUGACCUGCAGAGGAUACCGCGGGACUAGGAGGCGGGAGAGGCGGACGGUACUCCGCGUGUAGGGGUAAAAUCCUUUGAUCCGCGGAAGACCACCAGUGGCGAAGGCGGUCCGCCAGAACGCGCUCGACGGUGAGGGAUGAAAGCUGGGGGAGCGAACCGGAUUAGAUACCCGGGUAGUCCCAGCCGUAAACGAUGCUAGCUAGAUGAUUCAUUCGCAAGUCGCGAAUGAAGUGUCGCAGGGAAGCCGUUAAGCUAGCCGCCUGGGGAGUACGGUCGCAAGACUGAAACUUAAAGGGAUUGGCGGGGGAGCA